rnacentral:rRNA from 1 species
CGUGUAGGCGGUUUCGUAUGUCUGGCGUGAAAGCCCCGGGCUCAACCCGGGAAGUGCGUUGGAAACUGCGAAACUAGAGUCUCGGAGAGGAAGGUGGAAUUCCAGGUGUAGCGGUGAAAUGCGUAGAUAUCUGGAAGAACACCGGUGGCGAAGGCGGCCUUCUGGACGAUGACUGACGCUGAGACGCGAAAGCGUGGGGAGCAAACA